rnacentral:pre_miRNA from 1 species
AAAAGUGCUUACAGUGCAGGUAGCUUUUAGUACCUACUGCAAUGUAAGCACUUCUAGC